GCGUCUGUGGUGUAAUGGCGUAGAGCAUUCCCGCCCGGUUAGAGGGAGGUGCGGGUUCGAGUCCCGCCUGGCGCU
rnacentral:tRNA from 1 species